GCACAUUGUGCUGCAAUGCACCAUGGGCAUUCAUGGUUUUGAUGUUUUAAAUGUUCUUGUGGUUCAUGUUAGUUUAACACUGUUGUUAGUGUUAUUGAUUUAUUGUGUUUUUGUAGUUAUUUGAUGAUUUAAAUGUUAA